AUUGAACGCUGGCGGCAGGCUUAACACAUGCAAGUCGAGCGGAGAUGAGGUGCUUGCACCUUAUCUUAGCGGCGGACGGGUGAGUAAUGCUUAGGAAUCUGCCUAUUAGUGGGGGACAACAUUCCGAAAGGAAUGCUAAUACCGCAUACGUCCUACGGGAGAAAGCAGGGGAUCUUCGGACCUUGCGCUAAUAGAUGAGCCUAAGGCGGAUUAGCUAGUUGGUGGGGUAAAGGCCUACCAAGGCGACGAUCUGUAGCGGGUCUGAGAGGAUGACCCGCCACACUGGGACUGAGACACGGCCCAGACUCCUACGGGAGGCAGCAGUGGGGAAUAUUGGACAAUGGGGGGAACCCUGAUCCAGCCAUGCCGCGUGUGUGAAGAAGGCCUUAUGGUUGUAAAGCACUUUAAGCGAGGAGGAGGCUACUGAGACUAAUACUCUUGGAUAGUGGACGUUACUCACAGAAUAAGCACCGGCUAACUCUGUGCCAGCCGCCGCGGUAAUAC
rnacentral:rRNA from 1 species